GUGUCCUUGUCUCUUCUCCAUGAUCAGCCUUCCUUCUCAUACUGAAUGCCUUCACAGCUAUUUCUAAGUUGUUGCUUUUAAGAAGAAUCUAGUCACAAAGUUUCCAAUUACAUUUCAUGUUGAUUUGAUUUUUUAUUGACUCGUAGGUGACAACUGCAUCUAUGAAUCAAUCAGAGGAAACACGGAGGAAGGAACCCGAGGUGAUCCAGAGGAGAGGUCUGACUACGUUAAUGAAAAUCCACAUUCAGCUUCAGGACCACUAUGAAUGGUGCAUCCUCGAGAAAACAAAAACACGAAAAUCAACAUUCAUCUGUUGGG